CUAAAAAAAAAAAACACCAUUGCCGUCGAGUUGAUUCUGACUCAUAGCAACGCUGUAAGACAGAGCAGAACUGCCCAAUAGAGUUUCCAAGGAGUUCCUGGUGGGUUUGAACUGCCGACCUUUUGGUUAGCAGCUGUAGCACUUAACUACUACGCCACCAGGGUUUCCAAGAGGAUGCUAGUAGGGCAAUACAUCUAAUUUAUUGUUGAAAGGGCUGAGAGUUAAUCCCAAAAUAAGAAAGGUUACUGCAACCUGUAUGAAGCAGCUUAGUUGUAAAGAACACUUCAAGUUUUUCUGUUAGUAUUUGUCUUUUAGGAUGGUUAAGACUAGCUGGUAUUGAACAACCUGGAUAUUUUGGUUUUGUCACACUUAAUGUGUUUUACACCUUUAACUUUGGUAUUUAUUAGCUCAUUAGUGUUAAAUUAUUAUAACUUUUGAUUUAUCUCUUCUGAUGUGGUUAAAUUUAAACAUUGUUGUUGUUAGAUGCUGUUCAGUUGGUUCCAACUUAUAGCGACCCCAUGUACAACAGAACUAAACACUGCCUGGUCCUGGCCAUCCUCACAAUUGUUCUUAUUCUUGAGCCCAUAAAUUUAAACAUACUCAAAUGAAUUAAGUAAACAACAUACUACCAGCCUUCUUUCCUUUGGUGGCCAGAAAUCUAGGACAGAAGCCAGGAGCUGACCACACCCACCUCUGGGGCUGGAGGAUUGUGAGCACCACAAGGGAACAAUGAUACACUUAGUAUAUAUAAUUGGAAAGCUGAAGUAUUUAAUGGCUCCAACUAAUGAUAUUUUCUUUUGUCUUUUGGGUACAGAUAAGGACAAUGGGAAGCUUUAUUAUUAUUUUUUAAAGAAUUGGACCAGGCCAACUAUUAGCUAUCAAUUUUCUAGGAGGCUGGGGUUACUUUCUCGUUUUGCCCUUCACACAAUAUUUAUAGCAUUACAUGUUUUACUUCGUCUCUAGAAUAUUGGCUCUGAAAGUACAGAACAACAAGUUGUGCUUUUUAAAGUUACUGGAUUUUCAAAUUUAUGCAUUUAGACUCUGCAGCAGAUCCACAAUAAGUUUCAUCACAAGGGCUUCGAGAAGCUCCGAGUUCUGGAAAAACAUAGUAUUAAUGAGAGCAGGUGGUGAGCUCCCCACUGAAAUUAAGUGAUGUCAAAUGCAGAUAUGAUAUAUCUGGAAGCCAAGACCAUAACAAAAAAAGACAGAGGUACUUCAAGUACUAUGAAGCACAAAAUAAAUUAUAUUAAUUACAUGACAAAAAUGGCAUUUGAGGACGACAGAAACAAAUUGUUGAUACGCUUUGUAAUGUUGUCUGAUAGACGUGAAGUUUAUGAACCUCUUUAGCAAAUGGAUUUGCAAACAACAGCUGGGAGAGAACAAUUUCAUCAAGGUAGAUGAUCAUUUACAUUGCUUACAGGGAUGUGGUUAAAUUUAUAGGACUUCUCUC